rnacentral:rRNA from 1 species
UACAGAGACUGCAAGCGUUAUUCGGAUUCACUGGGCGUAAAGGGUGCGCAGGCGGCCAAGUGUGUUAGGCGUGAAAGCCCGGGGCUUAACCCCGGAAUUGCACCUAAAACUACAUGGCUAGAGCAUUGGAGAGGGUAGCGGAAUUCACGGUGUAGCAGUGAAAUGCGUAGAUAUCGUGAGGAACACCCGUGGCGAAGGCGGCUGCCUGGGACGCGCCUGACACUGAGAAGCGAAAGCUAGGGGAGCAAACGGG